AUGAGUAACACGUGAGUAACCUGCCCUUAACUCUGGGAUAAGCCUGGGAAACUGGGUCUAAUACCGGAUAGGAGCGUCCACCGCAUGGUGGGUGUUGGAAAGAUUUAUCGGUUUUGGAUGGACUCGCGGCCUAUCAGCUUGUUGGUGAGGUAAUGGCUCACCAAGGCGACGACGGGUAGCCGGCCUGAGAGGGUGACCGGCCACACUGGGACUGAGACACGGCCCAGACUCCUACGGGAGGCAGCAGUGGGGAAUAUUGCACAAUGGGCGCAAGCCUGAUGCAGCGACGCCGCGUGAGGGAUGACGGCCUUCGGGUUGUAAACCUCUUUCAGUAGGGAAGAAGCGAAAGUGACGGUACCUGCAGAAGAAGCACCGGCUAACUACGUGCCAGCAGCCGCGGUAAUACGUAGGGUGCGAGCGUUAUCCGGAAUUAUUGGGCGUAAAGAGCUCGUAGGCGGUUUGUCGCGUCUGUCGUGAAAGUCCGGGGCUUAACCCCGGAUCUGCGGUGGGUACGGGCAGACUAGAGUGCAGUAGGGGAGACUGGAAUUCCUGGUGUAGCGGUGGAAUGCGCAGAUAUCAGGAGGAACACCGAUGGCGAAGGCAGGUCUCUGGGCUGUAACUGACGCUGAGGAGCGAAAGCAUGGGGAGCGAACAGGAUUAGAUACCCUGGUAGUCCAUGCCGUAAACGUUGGGCACUAGGUGUGGGGACCAUUCCACGGUUUCCGCGCCGCAGCUAACGCAUUAAGUGCCCCGCCUGGGGAGUACGGCCGCAAGGCUAAAACUCAAAGGAAUUGACGGGGGCCCGCACAAGCGGCGGAGCAUGCGGAUUAAUUCGAUGCAACGCGAAGAACCUUACCAAGGCUUGACAUGUUCUCGAUCGCCGUAGAGAUACGGUUUCCCCUUUGGGGGCGGGUUCACAGGUGGUGCAUGGGUUGUCGUCAGCUCGUGUCGUGAGAUGUUGGGUUAAGUCCCGCAACGAGCGCAACCCUCGUUCCAUGUGCCAGCACGUAAUGGUGGGGACUCAUGGGGAGACUGCCGGGGUCACCUCGGAGCACGUUGAGGAACGAACGUCCAAAUCAUCAUGCCCCUUAUGUCUUGGGCUCACGCAUGC
rnacentral:rRNA from 1 species